rnacentral:rRNA from 1 species
GAUGAACGCUGGCGGCGUGGAUGAGGCAUGCAAGUCGAAUGGGUUUAGACCCAUGGCAGACGAGGUAGGAACACGUAGGUACGUACCGUAGAGUCAAGGAUACUCUGUCGAAAGGCAGCAUAAUACUUGAUGGUCCCCCCGGGGUAAAGAUUUAUCGCUCUAUGAACGGCCUGCGGUCUAUCAGCUUGAUGGUAAGGUAACGGCUUACCAUGGCUACGACGGAUAGGGGAGGUGAGAGCCUGACCCCCACCGAUGGAACUGAGACACGGUCCAUACUCCUACGGGAGGCCGCAGUCGAGAAUCUUCCGCAAUGGACGAAAGUCUGACGGAGCGACGCCGCGUGGUGGAUGAAGUACUUCGGUACGUAAACACCUUUUAUGAGUGAAGAAGUAUAUUGACAUUAACUCAUGAAUAAGGGGCUCCUAACUCUG